UGACUGGUGCAAGCGGUCAGGAGGUGGCGUGUGGACCUGCAGGAAGUAGCUGGCGCAGCAUUACAGUGUUGACUCAACAAGGCUGUGGCAUCUUUGCUCUGCAAAUCAGAUGAGUGGACCAGCUACCUCGACACCUGGAUGAGAUCACGACCUUGGACUCAACAUCCGUUCGAUUGCAAGCUAUAGUCACCGAUGCUGGCAGCGAGCUAAACCCGGCACAGAUUUCGAUCCAAGUUGCUGCAAGCUAGCGUUAGCUCGCUGCUGCUACCCUGCAGACAUUAAACUGGCCACAUAAACAUGCGGAUCAUUGAGGCGGAGAGCCCUGGGACAUCUUUAAACACCUUCUGCAGAACACGAGUUUCGACGGGUCGCUGACUGGAGAGUAUCUGUGGGUAAGGAGCGACAGAUCUCACGGACCAGAUUGCACGCUGAACCUUUUGCCUCUCAGACAGACUGACGGCGACCAUGUUGACCAUUCUAGCUGCUGGGUCGGUCUUCUUCCCAGGCCUUUUUCUGCUGUCCAAGCAGUGCUUGAAGUCCAUCCCGGCACUGAGGUGGAGUGAAGGAGAUGCAGUCAUUGUGUCGGCCAGGUUGGUGUCAUCAGUUCAGGCAGUCAUGGCUUCUUCAGCUGGCUACAUCAUCGCCUCUUCCUGUGAGGACAUCAUUGAGGACCAGCAUUGGCUGACUAGCAGUUACAUCGUGUUUGCUGUUCCCUACUUUGUAUACGACAUCUACGCAAUGUUCAUGUGCUACUGGUACAAGCUACGGGUCAAAGGGCAUGAGGAGGCCUCGGCAGCGCCCCAACACAUGAGUUCAGCGCUGACCAGCUACCUGCGUCGCGAGUUUCUCAUGGUGCUGCACCACGUUGUCAUGGUCACCGUCUGCUUUCCUGUCUCCGUGUUUUGGCGACAAGGAAAGGGAGAUUAUUUCCAAGGUAUAAUGUUUAUGGCUGAGCUCAGUACUCCAUCUGUCUGCUUGGGGAAAAUACUCAUACAGUACAAACAGCAACACACUCUCCUGCACAAAGUGAACGGGGCUCUUAUGCUGAUCACUUUUUUCAUCUGUCGAGUCCUCCUCUUCCCUUACCUCUACUACGUCUAUGGAAGGUAUGCAUCGAUUCCAUUCCACAUGGUUCCGCUGUCUGUGCCCUGGCACUGUAACCUUGGUGCUGCUCUGCUCAUGGCUCCCCAGCUCUACUGGUUCUCCCUCAUCUGCAGGGGCGCCUUACGACUAUUUACAGGCUCCUCGCGCUUUCAGAGGCCGCGUACAGACACACCCGCUGCCAAGGGGUGCCAGAGGGAUAGCAGUGCUCUGCCCCAGCCCGCUAAUGGCUACAGCACACGUUCAACAGAGCCUGAGUUGGCCACUCACUGAGGAGAGUGGAGGGAAGGAAAGUGAAUGUACCACUGAGUAUGUAAACAAAUGAAAGGUUAGGCGACAUUUCAUUUCUGCAUCCAGUGUUUCGAUGGACCUUUUUAGGCCAUGAGAUUUGACCUCCAGUAAAUACGCACAACGUUUCAGUUGUUUUUACAGAAAAGUGCUUGUGCAGUGCAUUUAGAAAACAGUCGGGUCCUUUUACUUGAUCACAUUUUAUGUUGCUGUGUUACGCUAAAAUUGUUCAUGUUUUCUCCCUCAUCAAACAGCCAGUACCUCAGAACGAUUAAGCUAAACAGGAUUUUUAAAAUUAUUUUAUUUUCAUGUAUUUAUUAAAAGAUGUAAAACUGGAAGGUGUGUGAAUGCACGGUUUACAAGCUACAGUCAGAUUUUAUGGCAGUGUUCAUUGUGUGUGUACAUGAUUUCAUUCCGCUGGUGUCAGUGAUUCUAAACACAUGGAUGUGAUGCACAGUAGCAGUCACUUUAUUAUUAUUAUUUUUUUUUUUUGUUUGGUGCUGAUGUAAAUCUAUCCUCAUGAUCGGCUGGGGUACUUGAUGAAAUCCUUGAGACUGUUUAAAGGAUGGUUUGGGGACCUCUAGUAUUGCAGUUUGACAGGAAACAAGUGAAGAUAAUCUAGUAAGAAAGCAUUGCCUUGCAACCGACUUGCAGCGCGUUUGUUCAUGACAACUUAUUUUAAUGUUGCUCAUUUCUGAACCUUUCUACUGUAUAGGAAUUGUUCAAGCCUUUCACAUUUUAUGAAUCACUCCAGUCAUUAUGUUGUUAAUUUGAACAGUGUUUCUGUCAUUUUAUGUUUGCUUGAAUUAGAUCCACUGUCCUGGAAAUGGGUCAAUGAAAUGAAGCAGAGAAAACCAUCAAAACUGGGCAGCUUGUGCCAAAACAUUACAACUGUGGGCAUGUUGAACACAGACUAUACAUUCCCCUAUCCCACAACUUCACGUUAGGUACUGCUUCUUGACAAUACUACCAGAAAACCAUUUCAACCAAUGUACUGUAUAUUCCAUAAGAUGCUUGUUAUUUAUUUGUAAGUAUUUAUUUAUUUAUUUGGUUUGUGGAUUUGAAUGCAUAUUUAUGCAUACCUACUGUAUACUCUAUGCUUCUGAGCCUUAUGUGAAGGCUGUAUUGUUACUCAAACUUAGCUAAAAUAUACUUCUCUGUCCUGA